GACGUAGGGGGCGAGCGUUGUCCGGAUUUAUUGGGCGUAAAGCGUGCGUAGGCGGCUGCGCAAGUCGGUUGUGAAACCCCGGGGCUCAACCCCGGAACUGCAUCCGAUACUGCGUGGCUAGAGGUAGGUAGGGGAGAUCGGAAUUCCUGGUGUAGCGGUGAAAUGCGCAGAUAUCAGGAGGAACACCGGUGGCGAAGGCGGGUCUCUGGGCCGAAACUGACGCUGAGGAGCGAAAGCGUGGGGAGCGAACAGG
rnacentral:rRNA from 1 species